AUUGAACGCUGGCGGCAUGCCUUACACAUGCAAGUCGAACGGCAGCACGGGUGCUUGCACCUGGUGGCGAGUGGCGAACGGGUGAGUAAUGCAUCGGAACGUACCCGGAAGUGGGGGAUAACGUAGCGAAAGUUACGCUAAUACCGCAUAUUCUGUGAGCAGGAAAGCGGGGGAUCUUCGGACCUCGUGCUUUCGGAGCGGCCGAUGUCGGAUUAGCUAGUUGGUGAGGUAAAGGCUCACCAAGGCGACGAUCCGUAGCGGGUCUGAGAGGAUGACCAGCCACACUGGAAGUGAGACACGGUCCAGACUCCUACGGGAGGCAGCAGUGGGGGAUAUUGCACAAUGGGCGCAAGCCUGAUUCAGCCAUGCCGCGUGUAUGAAGAAGGCCUUCGGGUUGUAAAGUACUUUCAGCGGGGAGGAAGGCGGUGAAGUUAAUAACUUCACCGAUUGACGUUACCCGCAGAAGAAGCACCGGCUAACUCCGUGCCAGCCGCCGCGGUAA
rnacentral:rRNA from 1 species